rnacentral:rRNA from 1 species
AUGAACGCUGGCGGCGUGCUUAAGACAUGCAAGUCGAACGAGAAAGUAGCAAUAUGAGUACAGUGGCGCACGGGUGAGUAGUACUUGGGUAACAUACCUUUUCGCUGGGGAUAACUAGGGGAAACCUUAGCUAAUACCGAAUAAUCCGCGAGAAACCUCGGUUUCUUUCGGUAAAGCCGUAAGGCGCGAAAAGAGUGGCCCCAGGCCUAUUAGCUAGUUGGUGAGGUAAUGGCUCACCAAGGCUAUGAUGGGUAGCUGGUCUGAGAGGAUGAUCAGCCACACUGGUACUGAAAUACGGACCAGACUCCUACGGGAGGCAGCAGUUAGGAAUUUUGCACAAUGGGGGAAACCCUGAUGCAGCAACGCCGCGUGAGUGAUGAAGGCCUUCGGGUUGUAAAGCUCUUUUGACGGGAACGAAAAAAAUGACGGUACCCGUUGAAUAAGCACCGGCUAACUCCGU